UCAGAGAAGCAUCCUGAAAAA
rnacentral:piRNA from 1 species